GCCUGGCUAGCUCAAUCGGCUAGAGCAUUCGACUCUUAUUUAUGAGACGGUAUCGAAAGGUUGCGGGUUCGAGUCCCGCGUUGGGCU